CUGAUGUACAAUCUGUUAUGUUCUGAAGUAACUUGUAUUUGUGUGUUUUAUACUGCUAAUGUACAAUCUGUUAUGUUCUGAAGUAAUUUGUAGUUGUGUGUUUUAUACUGCUUGUGAACAAUCUGUUAUGUUCUGAAGUAACUUGUAUUUGUAUGUUUAUACUGCUGAUGUACAAUCUGUUAUGUUCUGAGGUAACUUGUAGUUGUAUAUUUUAUACUGCUAGUGUUCAAUCUGUUAUGUUCUGAGGUAACUUGUAGUUGUAUAUUUUAUACUGCUUGUGUACAAUUUGUUAUGUUCUGAGGUAACUUGUAGUUAUGUGUUUUAUACUGUUUAUGUACAAUCUGUUAUGUUCUGAAGUAAUUUGUAGUUGUGUGUUUUAUACUGCUGUUGUACGAUCUGUUAUGUUCU
rnacentral:lncRNA from 1 species